CAGCAGCCGCGGGAACACGUAGGGUGCGAGCGUUAAUCGGAAUUACUGGGCGUAAAGCGUGCGCAGGCGGUUAUAUAAGACAGAUGUGAAAUCCCCGGGCUCAACCUGGGACCUGCAUUUGUGACUGUAUAGCUAGGGUACGGUAGAGGGGGAUGGAAUUCCGCGUGUAGCAGUGAAAUGCGUAGAUAUGCGGAGGAACACCGAUGGCGAAGGCAAUCCCCUGGACCUGUACUGACGCUCAUGCACGAAAGCGUGGGGAGCAAACAGGAUUAGAGACCCCAGUAGUCCCUGUCUCUUAUAC
rnacentral:rRNA from 1 species